rnacentral:lncRNA from 1 species
GGGUUGGGCUCAAUAUUCUGGAUACGAUGAGAGUCCCAAUGACGGCUCCAUUUCAUACAAAUGGUGGGUCUGACUUAAUUAAAGAGUGGACCAAUAUUUUGGAUACAGUGAGGCUUCACAAAUUAGAGACCGAAGAUGACUGCAACAUGUUUGAAAAAAUAUGGAUAAGAGUUGUCCACUCAUUAGCUGAUCUAUCACCAAUAACUGUUGGAUGAGGUAGUGAGCUAAUCAGUG